rnacentral:rRNA from 1 species
UACGGGGGGGGCAAGCGUUGUUCGGAAUUACUGGGCGUAAAGGGCUCGUAGGCGGCCAACUAAGUCAGACGUGAAAUCCCUCGGCUUAACCGGGGAACUGCGUCUGAUACUGGAUGGCUAGAGUUUGGGAGAGGGAUGCGGAAUUCCAGGUGUAGCGGUGAAAUGCGUAGAUAUCUGGAGGAACACCGGUGGCGAAGGCGGCAUCCUGGACCAACACUGACGCUGAGGCGCGAAAGCGUGGGGAGCGAACAGG